GAUGAAGAACGCAGCGAAAUGCGAUACGUAAUGUGAAUUGCAGAAUUCAGUGAAUCAUCGAAUCUUUGAACGCAUAUUGCGCUCUUUGGUAUUCCGAAGAGCAUGCUUGUUUGAGUAUCAGUAAACACCUCAAAGUCUUUUUUUUUCUUAAGGAAAGACCUUGGACUUGAGCAAUCCCAACUCUUCUUUCAGAAGAGGCGGGUUGCUUGAAAUGCAGGUGCAGCUGGACAUUCUCCUGAGCUAAAAGCAUAUUCAUUUAGUCCCGUCAAACGGAUUAUUACUUUUGCUGCAGCUAACAUAAAGGGAGUUUGACCAUUUUGGCUGACUGAUGCAGGAAUUUCACAAGAGUCUUCAAAACGCUCUUGUUAAACUCGAUCUCAAAUCAAGUAAGACUACCCGCUGAACUUAAGCAUAUCAAUAAGCGGAGGA
rnacentral:misc_RNA from 1 species